AACGAACGCUGGCGGCAGGCUUAACACAUGCAAGUCGAACGCCCCGCAAGGGGAGUGGCAGACGGGUGAGUAACGCGUGGGAAUCUACCUAGUUCUACGGAACAACAGAGGGAAACUUCUGCUAAUACCGUAUACGCCCUAUGGGGGAAAGAUUUAUCGGAAUUAGAUGAGCCCGCGUAAGAUUAGCUAGUUGGUGAGGUAAUGGCUCACCAAGGCGACGAUCUUUAGCUGGUCUGAGAGGAUGAUCAGCCACACUGGGACUGAGACACGGCCCAGACUCCUACGGGAGGCAGCAGUGGGGAAUAUUGGACAAUGGGCGCAAGCCUGAUCCAGCCAUGCCGCGUGAGUGAUGAAGGCCUUAGGGUUGUAAAGCUCUUUCAGUAGGGAAGAUAAUGACGGUACCUACAGAAGAAGCCCCGGCUAACUUCGUGCCAGCCGCCGCCGUAACAC
rnacentral:rRNA from 1 species